rnacentral:rRNA from 1 species
CUCGCCUACAUGAAGCUGGAGUUACUAGUAAUCGCAGAUCAGAAUGCUGCGGUGAAUGCGUUCCCGGGUCUUGUACACACCGCCCGUCACACCACGGGAGUUGGAGACGCCCGAAGCCGAUUAUCUAACCUUUUGGAAGAAGUCGUCGAAGGUGGAAUCAAUAACUGGGGUGAAGUCGUAACAAGGUAGCCGUAUCGGAAGGUGCGGCUGGAUCACCUCCUUU